AUAUUUUUUUCUAAGAAAAAAAGUUUUAAAACUCGCGAAAACUAGUUUUAAUACAUUCUUAUAAGUUAAACGAAGCGAUAUGUGAUGGUUUUAAAUGUGGCGUGGUGAUUUUUAGUUCAAAAAACUCAUUUAAAAUACAUUGACGUUUGACAGAUAUGGAGGUUAAAAGAUUUAAAAUAGUUUUAAGCGGAGAUUUGCGGAUUCUCGUUAAGGCCUAAGAACCACUCAAAUUCGCAUUUAGAAACUCCGGAAACUACAACGACGACGAUGACGACCACGAGAAACUUUUCCCAUUAAGAAACGCAGAAGACGUCACCGAGAACUAGGAGAUAGCGAGCGAGAUGGAAACACAAAGAGAAACGUUUCAAUCACAAUCAAAAACGGAUUAUAUUUUAACUAACAACAAAAAGAAAUAAAUAAAUAAUACAAGGAGAUGAUGAAGAUUUUACGUUUUUGUUUUGGAUUUAUGGUUUUGGAGUGUUUGAUUGAAUUUUGAGAGAGAUUAAAUUUCGCUUGAAAUCGGGGGCAAUUAAUCCCGAAAUUUCCGUGGUCGUUGUCGUCGUCCCACUGGAAUAUUUAAUGUUCCAAAACCGCCCCCUGAUACCGCCAAAAACCCCCCACUUUGGAAACUGACGCUAAUUGCCUCACGUCGCUUCUAAUAUGAAAUCUAUAUUCGAAAACCGAAUGAUUUAUCGAGUUAACGUUUUAAUGCCUAAAGUUCCAAGAAGUUGAACCAUUCCGAAAGUUGAUGUAAGAAAAAAUUGAUUUAAAAAGAAUUAUUUUGAACGAUU